GAUGAACGCUGGCGGCGUGCCUAAUACAUGCAAGUCGAGCGAACGGACGAGAAGCUUGCUUCUCUGAUGUUAGCGGCGGACGGGUGAGUAACACGUGGAUAACCGACCUAUAAGACUGGGAUAACUUCGGGAAACCGUAGCUAAUACCGGAUAAUAUUUUGAACCGCAUGGUUCAAAAGUGAAAGACGGUCUUGCUGUCACUUAUAGAUGGAUCCGCGCUGCAUUAGCUAGUUGGUAAGGUAACGGCUUACCAAGGCAACGAUGCAUAGCCGACCUGAGAGGGUGAUCGGCCACACUGGAACUGAGACACGGUCCAGACUCCUACGGGAGGCAGCAGUAGGGAAUCUUCCGCAAUGGGCGAAAGCCUGACGGAGCAACGCCGCGUGAGUGAUGAAGGUCUUCGGAUCGUAAACCUCUGUUAUUAGGGAAGAACAUAUGUGUAAGUAACUGUGCACAUCUUGACGGUACCUAAUCAGAAAGCCACGGCUAACUACGUG
rnacentral:rRNA from 1 species